UACAGAGGUCCCAAGCGUUGUUCGGAUUCAUUGAGCGUAAAGGGUGCGUAGGCGGCGCGGUAAGUCGGGUGUGAAAUCUCGGGGCUUAACUCCGAAACUGCAUUCGAUACUGCCGUGCUUGAGGACUGGAGAGGAGACUGGAAUUUACGGUGUAGCGGUGAAAUGCGUAGAUAUCGUAAGGAAGACCAGUGGCGAAGGCGGGUCUCUGGGCCGAUACUGACGCUGAGGAGCGAAAGCGUGGGGAGCGAACAGG
rnacentral:rRNA from 1 species